AGCUCCAAUAGCGUAUAUUAAAGUUGUUGCAGUUAAAAAGCUCGUAGUUGGAUUUGUGGCGUACGGUGGGCCCCGGGCACUUGUUGUCUGAGUGGUUUGCUGUUGCCAUCCUUGGGUGGAACCUGUGUGGCAUUAGGUUGUCGUGCAGGGGAUGCCCAUCUUUUACUGUGAAAAAAUUAGAGUGUUCAAAGCAGGCUUAGGCCGUUGAAUAUAUUAGCAUGGAAUAAUGAGAUAGGACUUUGUUACUAUUUUGUUGGUUUGCGUAGCAAGGUAAUGAUUAAUAGGGACAGUUGGGGGUAUUCGUAUUCCAUUGUCAGAGGUGAAAUUCUUGGAUUUUUGGAAGACGAACUACUGCGAAAGCAUUUACCAAGGAUGUUUUCAUUAAUCAAGAACGAAAGUA
rnacentral:rRNA from 1 species